CGUCCGCCUUUUGUUUGUACCCGGGACGCGACUUGUUAACCCUACCCCACCGCCGGUCAUGGCGUCUGCAGCGGCGGCCGCCGGCGAAGCCUCCACCUCGGGGCCCGCUACGAGGGAGAAACCCAUCGUCGUCCGGGUCAAGCGCAAGCCCUCACAGACCCGCCCGGAUGCUUUCUGGCUAGAGAUUAAUGAGAGGCCGGCGAAGAAGGCGAUGCUCGAUUUCUCCAGCCUCUCCAUCUCCGAGCCCUCCUCUUCCUCCGCCGCAAUCCAAACAGAAUGCAACUUUGGCGCCAUGAUACUUGCCAAAACGAUUCUGCCACCGUGCAUUGAUACUGUAAAUGUCGUUACCAAACUCUCCACAUUCAGACGAAGAAGAAUAUAGACUGCAAAGAACAUCCUAGUGUGGUGCUGCCUCCACCUGCAAAACGUCUUACUGUCUUGCCAUGCACAAAGCUUCAGAGGAACAACCACGGGUCAAGAAGCUUCUUGUUCAACACAUCGAGACAGUGCACCAUUCUCAAGCUGUUGAAGAUGUUUUGCACUCUCUUUUGCUUGCUGACUCAGCUAUCAAAGAGAUGAAGAGCAAGACAAAGGAGUGGAAUGACAGAAUCAAGCAAGACAAAAAACCAGACCAGCUACGGUCAGCAGCCAGACAGAGGCAUGAGCGGCUCAGAUACCUAGAGGUUUUUGGUUGUGGCCAGCUGAAAAUGAUAGACAGCAAAGCUCCAAAUAUAUCCAGCUUUAGCUACGAAGGAGAUCACAUUCAACUGUCACUUGGAGAAACAUUGCAAAUGAAGAAGCUAGACAUAUUCUUCCAUGGCGCAGUUCAUUACGCUCGUGUUUAACUUCCAUCCAGCAUGCCAAACCUUAAAACUGCUACUAUAUUUUCAAGCAGAGAGAUGAUCAAUACACCAAUGUUGAAUAGCAAAUAUCUACACCUCAAGAAGCUAAAUAUUGUUCUCAGCGCUACGACCUUUCCUCCGACCUAUGAUUAUUUUUCUCUGGUUUCCUUUUUUGAUGCCUGUCCCUCCUUGGAGACUUUGGUCUUGAAUGUAUCACAGCGGAAAAUGGAGCAUAUCUCCAUAUUCACAGAUCCCUUGGAUCUGAGGAAGAUGCCAGGACAGCAGCACCACAAGAUGAAGAGAGUGAAGAUCCUAGAAUUCACAUCCGCGAAGAGUCUUGUUGAGCUAACAUGCCAUAUUGUUGAGAGCAUAACGUCACUUGAACGCCUUACACUGGAGGCCCACCAGAGUUCUUUUAAGUGUUAUGUGCCUACUCACAAUUGUAGCAAGUGCUCUCCACUGCCCAUUGAUGUUCUAAUGGAAGCUCAACGAGCAGUCUUGGCUAUCAGGACAUACGUCAAACCUAAAGUUCCCUCCAUGGUCAAACCUAAAGUUCCCUCCAUGGUAAAGCUACGUGUUGUUCAACGAGCAGUCUUGGCUAUCAGGACAUACGUCGAACCUAAAGUUCCCUCCAUGGUAAAGCUACGUGUUGUUGAGCCUUGCCGCCGAUGCCAUGCUGUUGAACUUUAGAUGGCAGGCUUAGCAUAAUUCAUAACAUUAUGUAGUCUUUGGAUGGGUCAGUUUCUUCAAGCUAGCAGAAGUGUCCAUUGUGUAGCACUAGUACUUGGGUGCUUUGGUUUACUGCGUUUGUAGUCUUUGGAUUGGGAUAAUUUGUGUUUUCACAAUUCUAUAAAUAUAGUGAACCUGAUAUGUUGAUAUCAGUUUUUUCU